GGAAGCAGAACUCGUAUGGUAGAGUGUCCCCCUUUUAAGGGGAAAGUUUUGGUUCAAUUCCAAGUGCUUCUA